AUGAGAAAGGGUCUUUAGGCCCAACCUCAAACCCAUGUCUACAUUACUUUGUUGCCUCGGCAGAGCGUCUGUUUACAGACCAUUGGCUUUGCUGAUGAGUCUUUGCCGAUGGGAUUUUUACACUCUGUCUCCAGUUUUCUGAAACACAUACAAACAAAAUCA
rnacentral:misc_RNA from 1 species